rnacentral:rRNA from 1 species
GAUGAACGCUGGCGGCGUGCUUAACACAUGCAAGUCGAACGGAAAGGCCCAAGCUUGCUUGGGUACUCGAGUGGCGAACGGGUGAGUAACACGUGGGUGAUCUGCCCUGCACUUUGGGAUAAGCCUGGGAAACUGGGUCUAAUACCGGAUAGGACGAUGGUUUGGAUGCCGUUGUGGAAAGUUUUUUCGGUGUGGGAUGAGCUCGCGGCCUUUCAGCUUGUUGGUGGGGUGAUGGCCUACCAAGGCGUCGUCGGGUAGCCGGCCUGUGAGGGUGUACGGCCACAUCGGGCGUGUGAGACGGCCCACAGUCCUAUGGGAGGCAGAAGGGGGGAAGAUUGCACAAUGGGGGCAAGCGUGAUGCAGCGACGCCGCGGGGGGGAUGACGGCCUUCGGGUUGUAAACACCUUUUGCUAGGGACGAAGCGGUUUUGUGACGGUACCUGGAGAAGAAGCACCGGCUAACUACGUG